rnacentral:rRNA from 1 species
AGCGAACGCUGGCGGCAGGCCUAACACAUGCAAGUCGAGCGGCCGUAGCAAUACGGCAGCGGCAGACGGGAGAGUAACACGUGGGAACGUGCCCAUCAGUUCGGAACAACCCAGGGAAACUUGGGCUAAUACCGGAUACGCCCUUACGGGGAAAGAUUUAUCGCUGAUGGAGCGGCCCGCGUCUGAUUAGCUUGUUGGUGAGGUAACGGCUCACCAAGGCGACGAUCAGUAGCUGGUCUGAGAGGAUGAUCAGCCUCACUGGGACUGAGACACGGCCCAGACUCCUACGGGAGGCAGCAGUGGGGAAUAUUGGACAAUGGGCGCAAGCCUGAUCCAGCCAUGCCGCGUGGAUGAUGAAGGUCUUAGGAUUGUAAAAUCCUUUCACCGGUGAAGAUAAUGACUGUAGCCGGAGAAGAAGCCCCGGCUAACUUCGUGCCAGCCGCCGCCGUAAGAC